rnacentral:lncRNA from 1 species
AUUGGGAACAGCAGGUACCUACCUCUUUCCAACCUUGUUCAUAUCUUUAUCUUUUCAAAACUGGUGAAUUAUUGUUUCCCAUUGCAGGCAACCAAAGCAAGGGCGAGGAUCUUUCAGGGAGAAGAGACACGGGGUCCUUGAUUUGCAGAGUUAAUAAUUUGUUGAAAGAAAGCAAACUCCUUCUGGUUUUUGGUUUUGAAGACACAGCUUGCUUUUCUCUCUCACUCUAGUGUGUGUUCUUCAAUCCACCAUGAUACAUUCUUCUUAUCCUAAGGCUUUUAAAUUUUGUAGUCUAAGCUUCUCUCUACUCUAACUAAUUACGUAUAUAAAGACUUGUAAGCCUUCAGAAAUUGAUGAGAUGUGCUCCCAGAAUUGAUUUGGAAAAUAAGACAGAAGGGUGAAGAGGAAUAAGAACUGUGUGGGUUGGGUUUGAAGAUAUAGAUAGAGUAGGUCGGUAAAUCAAGCAAAGUUGAAUCUGAGCAAGCAGAAAGCACUCACAUUUGUCAAAUGAAUAUGGGCAGUGGUAGCUGAUAAGGAAAGUGGGGAAGGAUCUGAUACUACUACUGCUGCUACUAAAUAAAGGACAACGAACAGCGCGGAAAGAGUGAGCACUGAGCACUCAACUCAGCACUGAACCUGGACAAUUAGGAGGAGGGACUACACAUUUUCAUGGGUAGAUAGCACUUCUAACUUUUUAACAAAUCAGUACUGUACGUUUUAAAAGUAACUGCGGUGGUUUUUGUUUGACUGAGAAAAAUCGGACUAAUGAUAUAUACCAUACUUAAAUUAUCGGAC